rnacentral:rRNA from 1 species
GGUUAAGCGACUAAGCGUACACGGUGGAUGCCCUGGCAGUCAGAGGCGAUGAAGGACGUGCUAAUCUGCGAUAAGCGUCGGUAAGGUGAUAUGAACCGUUAUAACCGGCGAUUUCCGAAUGGGGAAACCCAGUGUGUUUCGACACACUAUCAUUAACUGAAUCCAUAGGUUAAUGAGGCGAACCGGGGAACUGAAACAUCUAAGUACCCCGAGGAAAAGAAAUCAACCGAGAUUCCCCAGUAGCGGCGAGCGAACGGGGAGGAGCCCAGAGCCUGAAUCAGUGUGUGUGUUAGUGGAAGCGUCUGGAAAGGCGCGCGAUACAGGGUGACAGCCCCGUACACAAAAAUGCACAUACUGUGAGCUCGAUGAGUAGGGCGGGACACGUGGUAUCCUGUCUGAAUAUGGGGGACCAUCCUCCAAGGCUAAAUACUCCUGACUGACCGAUAGUGAACCAGUACCGUGAGGGAAAGGCGAAAAGAACCCCGGCGAGGGAGUGAAAAAGAACCUGAAACCGUGUACGUACAAGCAGUGGGAGCCUCUUUAUGGGGUGACUGCGUACCUUUGUAUAAUGGGUCAGCGACUUAUAUUCUGUAGCAAGGUUAACCGAAUAGGGAGCCGAAGGGAAACCGAGUCUUAACUGGGCGUUAAGUUGCAGGGUAUAGACCCGAAACCCGGUGAUCUAGCCAUGGGCAGGUUGAAGGUUGGGUAACACUAACUGGAGGACCGAACCGACUAAUGUUGAAAAAUUAGCGGAUGACUUGUGGCUGGGGUGAAAGGCCAAUCAAACCGGGAGAUAGCUGGUUCUCCCCGAAAGCUAUUUAGGUAGCGCCUCGUGAAUUCAUCUCCGGGGUAGAGCACUGUUUCGGCAAGGGGUCAUCCCGACUUACCAACCCGAUGCAAACUGCGAAUACCGGAGAAUGUUAUCACGGGAGACACACGGCGGGUGCUAACGUCCGUCGUGAAGAGGGAAACAACCCAGACCGCCAGCUAAGGUCCCAAAGUCAUGGUUAAGUGGGAAACGAUGUGGGAAGGCCCAGACAGCCAGGAUGUUGGCUUAGAAGCAGCCAUCAUUUAAAGAAAGCGUAAUAGCUCACUGGUCGAGUCGGCCUGCGCGGAAGAUGUAACGGGGCUAAACCAUGCACCGAAGCUGCGGCAGCGACGCUUAUGCGUUGUUGGGUAGGGAGCGUUCUGUAAGCCUGCGAAGGUGUGCUGUGAGGCAUGCUGGAGGUAUCAGAAGUGCGAAUGCUGACAUAAGUAACGAUAAAGCGGGUGAAAAGCCCGCUCGCCGGAAGACCAAGGGUUCCUGUCCAACGUUAAUCGGGGCAGGGUGAGUCGACCCUAAGGCGAGGCCGAAAGGCGUAGUCGAUGGGAAACAGGUUAAUAUUCCUGUACUUGGUGUUACUGCGAAGGGGGACGGAGAAGGCUAUGUUGGCCGGGCGACGGUUGUCCCGGUUUAAGCGUGUAGGCUGGUUUUCCAGGCAAAUCCGGAAAAUCAAGGCUGAGGCGUGAUGACGAGGCACUACGGUGCUGAAGCAACAAAUGCCCUGCUUCCAGGAAAAGCCUCUAAGCAUCAGGUAACAUCAAAUCGUACCCCAAACCGACACAGGUGGUCAGGUAGAGAAUACCAAGGCGCUUGAGAGAACUCGGGUGAAGGAACUAGGCAAAAUGGUGCCGUAACUUCGGGAGAAGGCACGCUGAUAUGUAGGUGAAGCGACUUGCUCGUGGAGCUGAAAUCAGUCGAAGAUACCAGCUGGCUGCAACUGUUUAUUAAAAACACAGCACUGUGCAAACACGAAAGUGGACGUAUACGGUGUGACGCCUGCCCGGUGCCGGAAGGUUAAUUGAUGGGGUUAGCGGUAACGCGAAGCUCUUGAUCGAAGCCCCGGUAAACGGCGUACGUAACUAUAACGGUCCUAAGGUAGCGAAAUUCCUUGUCGGGUAAGUUCCGACCUGCACGAAUGGCGUAAUGAUGGCCAGGCUGUCUCCACCCGAGACUCAGUGAAAUUGAACUCGCUGUGAAGAUGCAGUGUACCCGCGGCAAGACGGAAAGACCCCGUGAACCUUUACUAUAGCUUGACACUGAACAUUGAGCCUUGAUGUGUAGGAUAGGUGGGAGGCUUUGAAGUGUGGACGCCAGUCUGCAUGGAGCCGGCCUUGAAAUACCACCCUUUAAUGUUUGAUGUUCUAACGUUGGCCCCUGAUCGGGGUUGCGGACAGUGUCUGGUGGGUAGUUUGACUGGGGCGGUCUCCUCCUAAAGAGUAACGGAGGAGCACGAAGGUUGGCUAAUCCUGGUCGGACAUCAGGAGGUUAGUGCAAUGGCAUAAGCCAGCUUGACUGCGAGCGUGACGGCGCGAGCAGGUGCGAAAGCAGGUCAUAGUGAUCCGGUGGUUCUGAAUGGAAGGGCCAUCGCUCAACGGAUAAAAGGUACUCCGGGGAUAACAGGCUGAUACCGCCCAAGAGUUCAUAUCGACGGCGGUGUUUGGCACCUCGAUGUCGGCUCAUCACAUCCUGGGGCUGAAGUAGGUCCCAAGGGUAUGGCUGUUCGCCAUUUAAAGUGGUACGCGAGCUGGGUUUAGAACGUCGUGAGACAGUUCGGUCCCUAUCUGCCGUGGGCGCUGGAGAACUGAGGGGGCUGCUCCUAGUACGAGAGGACCGGAGUGGACGCAUCACUGGUGUUCGGGUUGUCAUGCCAAUGGCACUGCCCGGUAGCUAAAUGCGGAAGAGAUAAGUGCUGAAAGCAUCUAAGCACGAAACUUGCCCCGAGAUGAGUUCUCCCUGAGACUUUAAGUCUCCUGAAGGAACGUUGAAGACGACGACGUUGAUAGGCCGGGUGUGUAAGCGCAGCGAUGCGUUGAGCUAACCGGUACUAAUGAACCGUGAGGCUUAACCUU